rnacentral:rRNA from 1 species
AAGGGCACCACAAGAACGCGUGGAGCAUGUGGCUUAAUUUGACUCAACGCGGGAAAUCUUACCGGGUCCGGACACACUGAGGAUUGACAGGUAACAUCUCUCUAUAUGUUCGCAUAUAGUGAGUAUAAAUAUGCUAGUCCUUUCAUGAUUAUGUGAUAGGUGGUGCAUGGCCGUUCUUAGUUCGUGGAGUGAUCUGUCUGCUUAAUUGCGUUUCACUAUUGGGUCUAUAUAUACGUAUAUGUGUUGCGGCUUUGACCCCUCUAUAUCUGUUCACGCAGAUACUGAGUGCGCGUCUUACGCUUUGCUCACUAUACCUUAGACCCUGAAAGCAACGAACGUGACCGCAACCUCUUGUUGCUUUCAUCACACAUGCAUAAUAUAUAUAUCUUACGCUUCGGCGUAUAUAUUUUGUUAUGCUACGAAAGCUUGUCAUUCGUGACUACAUAAACUAGAGGGACCGCUGUUACUUUCUUAAACCAGAGGAAGGUUGCGGCAAUAACAGGUCUGUGAUGCCCUUAGAUGUUCCGGGCUGCACACGUGCUACAAUGAUUAUUGCAGUGAGCAUCUCAUUUUAUUACUACACCGCACGUGCGAGUCUAUAUUUAUUUCAUACGCUUCGGCUGUGUCGUAAAUAUCAGAUCUCUGCACGCGGUAAAGCCUACUUCGAAAGUAAGCGGGUAAUCAAUUAGAAGUAAUGAUUUCCUACAUACACACGAUUUCGAUCGUAUACUGCGCACAUACAUGUGGCGUAUAUACCCGGCAUACCUUGUUGUAUGUUCUUUGUGCGUAUAUAUGUAUUUUUCCACGUGCGCAAUUGUCAAUUCAUGGUGGGGACAGACCAUUGUUUCAAUUGUUGGUCUCGGUCUUAACUAGGAACGCCUUGUACGGGUCUUUGGUUCAACAAACCACCCGGAAUACGUCCCUGCCCUUUGUACACACCGCCCGUCGCUCUUACCGAUGGACUUCUCUGUGAGUUUGAGGGACUGUACUUUCACACUAUCACUAGUGUGAAUAUUAGGAAACUUAAACGAACAGUGUGGUCUAAAGGAAAGAGAAGUCGUAACAAGGCAUCAGUAGGUGAACCUGCAGAAGGAUCA